AUGGUAAAGAAAGCAUUGCGUUAUGCGCAAGGCACGAAGGACUACAUGCUAAUAUACAGGAGAAGUGAUUCCCUAGAGAUAAAAGGGUAUUCAGACACAGAUUUUGCGGGGGACAGAGAUGAUAGAAAAUCCACGUCAGGACACGUCUUCACUCUCGCUGGGGGAGCUAUUUCGUGGAAAAGCUCCAAACAGUCGAUAGUUGCAUCAUCCACGAUGUAUGCAGAAUUCAUAGCAUGCUUCUAA
rnacentral:rRNA from 1 species